rnacentral:lncRNA from 1 species
CCUUGAACUUGUGAUCCUCCUGCCUCAGUCUCUUGAGUUACUAGGAUUACAGGCAUGUGCCACCACACCUGGCAGUUCUAAUCUACUACAGGAACACACAUGGACACAUUAAAAGUGUGAAUAAAAUAAGGACAAGCAGACUGUUGGUGAGGACUGAAGAGUCUAAUUAGUAAAAUGUACAAAUAUAUUAGAAGCUGAGGAGUAUUCCCUGCUUCCUUUAGAUCCUGUUCUCCAGACAAGUGAAGUGUCACUGCACUUCAUUCCCAAGAAUGUUAUUUGCCUCUUCUAUUGGAGAAGUCCUCCGAGGAUGACAAAAUGGAUUGUUCCCAAUAAUAGAAGAGAGUUGGAAUUUUUAAGACAAGGAAAGCAGCAUAGCAUAGAAAUGAAAAAAAUAGUCUUUGGCCUUGGAAAGCUCUGGGUGGAAUCCCAGUCACCCCUGCAUUAUUACUUUGGGGACAGGCCACCCAC